UAGCUAAAUGCACCAGCUCCAGGCUUGCUAAAUAAUCUGCACAUGUACCAACAUCAUGCGUAAUGGGAUCCAUAUACAAACCUUUGGUAGGGAUAUUUGAGGUGACAUUAUGUACCUUGAAAUAGUGGUGGCAACCAACCUAGCAAUUUACAGUAAGCCAUGAAAAAAUGGUAUAUGUUUUGGCAGCAUACCAUAUGUAAAUAAGAAAACCACACAAUUCAUUAGUCAAAAGUAGUCCCAAAUGAGGCAACAAUGCACAAACUAGCAACAUAGACCACAUAAGCAUGCAUAUCAUCACAACAAUGUGAACAAUACAUCAAAGAGGCCAUCACCAGAUUGCAUUAUAUUAUGAUAACAUAUCACUAUCCUAUACUUUAGCCACCAAUAGGAAGACUUAGAGGAUAGUAUCUGCUAAAUAAAGUUUCGAGAGAUCAAUAUUUCAUGGUGCAACAGUGCUUUAUGAAAAAAAGAAAAAAUAUUAACUAAAAUCCUCAUCUAAGUAAAAUUACGAAUCAAAAAUUAUGUGCUCACAAUGGAUUAAUGUUGAUUGGUAGUAAAGAGAUAUGUUAAGGCUAGCUAGAUAUAAUUACAUGUUACCAUUUUGUACAUGAUCUUGUUUCUAGUCCGCGGUAAUGAUAAGAACUAUUAAUCUUAAUAUAAAUGUAACUAAAGUAACAAGUUGUAACUAUUUUAUUGGUAAAAAUGCCAAUAUAAUGAACACUAGCAACAAAACAUAGACAAAAUAUUUUCUUGAAAGAAUUUAGUAGAAAAGUUAUUCUUCAACACGAAUGCACACUAUGAGAUUGGACUUCUGAAUAAAACGUGUAAAUAUUGCAACUUGUGAAAUAUUGAAAGGAGAAAGCAACCAUCAUAUAUGUGUUACCUUAAUGUCUAAUAUGUGUGAAUAUCCCCAAGCACAAAACCCCAAGGCCUCGAGGAACUAGCAUUAUAUACAUAGAAGAAACUGUGAAUACAAGAGGAACUCUAAAUUCCUAUGUUUUAGAAAGGGAACUUUAGUUUGCUUGAUUUCUUCCUUGCACUAAGAAAAUAAAUAAAGUGGACCCAACAUGCCCAUAUAGGUAGUGUGU
rnacentral:lncRNA from 1 species